UACGUAGGGGGCAAGCGUUGUCCGGAUUUAUUGGGCGUAAAGAGCGUGUAGGCGGUUUGGUAGGUCCGCUGUGAAAACUCGAGGCUCAACCUCGAGACGCCGGUGGAAACCAUCAGGCUAGAGUCCGGAAGAGGAGAAUGGAAUUCCUGGUGUAGCGGUGAAAUGCGCAGAUAUCAGGAAGAACACCAAUGGCGAAGGCAGUUCUCUGGGACGGUACUGACGCUGAGACGCGAAAGCGUGGGGAGCGAACAGG
rnacentral:rRNA from 1 species